AUUGAACGCUGGCGGCAUGCCUUACACAUGCAAGUCGAACGGCAGCACGGGAGCAAUCCUGGUGGCGAGUGGCGAACGGGUGAGUAAUAUAUCGGAACGUGCCCAGUCGUGGGGAUAACGUAGCGAAAGUUACGCUAAUACCGCAUACGAUCUAAGGAUGAAAGCGGGGGGACUCGCAAGAGCCUCGCGCGAUUGGAGCGGCCGAUAUCAGAUUAGGUAGUUGGUGGGGUAAAGGCUCACCAAGCCAACGAUCUGUAGCUGGUCUGAGAGGACGACCAGCCACACUGGGACUGAGACACGGCCCAGACUCCUACGGGAGGCAGCAGUGGGGAAUUUUGGACAAUGGGCGCAAGCCUGAUCCAGCAAUGCCCGCGUGCA
rnacentral:rRNA from 1 species